rnacentral:ncRNA from 1 species
UUAUAUAGUAGGCAAACUUAUCGAAAGAUAAGGACGCAAAGCUAUGGGUCUAAGGACAGAUGGGUCUAUGAUUGCCAAGUUGCCGAU